UUAGAGUUUGAUCCUGGCUCAGGAUGAACGCUAGCGACAGGCCUAACACAUGCAAGUCGAGGGGUAACAGGGGCUUCGGCCCGCUGACGACCGGCGCACGGGUGAGUAACGCGUAUGCAACCUGCCUGUAACAGCGGGAUAGCUCCCUGAAAGGGGAAUUAACACCGCAUAAGACCACGCUCUCGCAUGGGGACGGGGUAAAAUAUUUAUAGGUUACAGAUGGGCAUGCGUGACAUUAGUUAGUUGGUGAGGUAACGGCUCACCAAGACUGCGAUGUCUAGGGGUUCUGAGAGGAAGGUCCCCCACACUGGAACUGAGACACGGUCCAGACUCCUACGGGAGGCAGCAGUGAGGAAUAUUGGUCAAUGGACGCAAGUCUGAACCAGCCAUGUCGCGUGCAGGAUGACUGCCCUAUGGGUUGUAAACUGCUUUUAUACGGGAGCAAUAAGGGUUACGAGUAAUCCGAUGAGAGUACUGUAUGAAUAAGGAUCGGCUAACUCCGUGCCAGCAGCCGCGGUAAUACGGAGGAUCCGAGCGUUAUCCGGAAUUAUUGGGUUUAAAGGGUGCGUAGGCGGCCAUUUAAGUCAGCGGUGAAAUUUUGCAGCUUAACUGUAACAGUGCCGUUGAUACUGUUUGGCUAGGAUUUGGUUGUAGUGUGCGGAAUGUGUGGUGUAGCGGUGAAAUGCUUAGAUAUCACACAGAACACCGAUUGCGAAGGCAGCACACUAAGUCAUUAUUGACGCUGAGGCACGAAAGUGUGGGGAUCAAACAGGAUUAGAUACCCUGGUAGUCCACACUGUAAACGAUGAUAACUCGCUGUCGGCGAUACACAGUCGGUGGCCAAGCGAAAGCAUUAAGUUAUCCACCUGGGGAGUACGACCGCAAGGUUGAAACUCAAAGGAAUUGACGGGGGCCCGCGCAAGCGGAGGAACAUGUGGUUUAAUUCGAUGAUACGCGAGGAACCUUACCCGGGCUCGAACGGUGCAUGAAUAUACGAGAGAUUGUAUAGUCCUUCGGGACAUGUAUCGAGGUGCUGCAUGGUUGUCGUCAGCUCGUGCCGUGAGGUGUCGGCUUAAGUGCCAUAACGAGCGCAACCCUCGUCAUUAGUUGCCAUCAGGUCAAGCUGGGGACUUUAAUGAGACUGCCACCGUAAGGUGUGAGGAAGGGGGGGAGGACGUCAAAUCAGCACGGCCCUUAUGUCCGGGGGGACACACGUGUUACAAUGGGAGGUACAGAGGGCAGCUAUCCGGUGACGGAAUGCUAAUCUCCAAAACCUUUCUCAGUUCGGAUUGGAGUGUGCAACUCGACUCCACGAAGGUGGAUUCGCUAGUAAUCGCGCAUCAGCCAUGGCGCGGUGAAUAAGUUCCCGGGCCUUGCACACACCGCCCG
rnacentral:rRNA from 1 species